CAGGGAUUGCCUCAGUAACGGCGAGUGAAGCGGCAACAGCUCAAAUUUGAAAUCUGACCCCUUCGGGGCCCGAGUUGUAAUUUGUAGAGGGUGUUUCGGGCGCGGUGCCGGUCUAAGUUCCUUGGAACAGGACGUCAUAGAGGGUGAGAAUCCCGUAUGCGACCGGCGACCAAGCCCAUGUGAAGCCCCUUCGACGAGUCGAGUUGUUUGGGAAUGCAGCUCAAAAUGGGUGGUAAAUUCCAUCUAAAGCUAAAUAUUGGCCGGAGACCGAUAGCGGACAAGUAGAGUGAUCGAAAGAUGAAAAGCACUUUGGAAAGAGAGUCAAACAGUACGUGAAAUUGUUGAAAGGGAAGCGCUUGCAAUCAGACCGGUCCGGGGGUGAUCAGCCGCUGCUCGUCAGCUGGUGCACUCGCCUUCGAUCCGGCCAGCAUCGGUUUGGGCGGUGGGAUAAAAGCCUCGGGAAUGUAGCUUCUUUCGGGGAGUCUUAUAGCCCGGGGCGCAAUGCUGCCCGCCUGGACCGAGGACCGCGCUUCGGCUAGGAUGCUGGCGUAAUGGUUGCAAGCGACCCGUCUUGAAACACGGACCAAGGAGUCUAACAUCUAUGCGAGUGUUUGGGUGUCAAACCCAGGCGCGGAAUGAAAGUGAACGGAGGUGGGAGCCCGUCAAACGGUGCACCAUCGACCGAUCCAGAUGUCUUCGGAUGGAUUUGAGUAUGAGCAUAGCUGUUGGGACCCGAAAGAUGGUGAACUAUGCCCGGAUAGGGUGAAGCCAGAGGAAACUCUGGUGGAGGCUCGCAGCGGUUCUGACGUGCAAAUCGAUCGUCAAAUCUAGGCAUAGGGGCGAAAGACCAAUCGAACCAUCUAG
rnacentral:rRNA from 1 species